rnacentral:rRNA from 1 species
GACGAACGCUGGCGGCGUGCUUAACACAUGCAAGUCGAACGAUGAAGGAGAGCUUGCUCUCCGGAUUAGUGGCGAACGGGUGAGUAACACGUGACUAACCUGCCCCUUUCUCUGGGAUAACGCUCCGAAAGGAGUGCUAAUACCGGAUACGAACUCUGAACACAUGUUCGGAGUUGGAAAGUUUUUCGGAAAGGGAUGGAGUCGCGGCCUAUCAGCUUGUUGGUGAGGUAACGGCUCACCAAGGCGACGACGGGUAGCCGGCCUGAGAGGGCGACCGGCCACACUGGGACUGAGACACGGCCCAGACUCCUACGGGAGGCAGCAGUGGGGAAUAUUGCACAAUGGGCGCAAGCCUGAUGCAGCGACGCCGCGUGAGGGAUGAAGGUCUUCGGAUUGUAAACCUCUUUCAGUAGGGACGAAGCGAAAGUGACGGUACCUAAAGAAGAAGCACCGGCUAACUACGUGCCAGCCGCCGCCGUAA